UCUGAUAAAGAUGCCUUCCUAAGUAUUUUUUAAGACUACUCACUGAGUAGUCACUUUAGGAGACCUUUGAGGUAAGAUGUAUAUUAUCUUGGAUUAUUUUGGUUAAACAUCUUAGUUGGUGGAUUAAGAGAAAUUUAGCCAGAUAAUGCAAAGGAAAAGCCUUUAGAUCUCUGGCAACACAGAAAGCUUCGCCUCUGCCCAGCUUCCUGCUGACCAGCUGCUGGCUAAGGUCUGAGUGUGGGUUGCUGCUGGACCUGGCUUCAGCUUGGAGUCCCAGAACCACUCAGACCUGGGAAUGUGUGGCAGUGGCUUCUGCCACCAGACCAACUGGCUCUUUGUGAACCAGCCAGUUUUAAUGGACUUGAAGGAAAUAUUCUGUGCCAAAGAUCCUCGGGACCUCCCAGCGACUGGGCACCCAACAUGCAAGCCCAUCCGACCCGAUCCUCUUUCCCCUCGUCACCUGCGAGAGCUCCCUGUCGGAUAACAGCCAGGUGUCUAUGGGCUGCCUGGCACGGGACUUCCUGCCCAAUGACAUCGUCUUCUCCUGGACCUAUGACAAUAGCUCUAAGGUGAGCCAGGUCGUCAGAACUUUCCCAGAGGUGCUGAUAGGAGGCAAGUAUACAGCCACCUCCCAGGUGCUCCUGCCCUCCAAGGACAUCACCCAGGUCACAGACAGGCACCUGGUGUGCAAGGUCAAGCAUGGCAGCAAAAACAAGAAUGUGGAAAUACCAUUUCCAGCGACCAGCGAGCAGGCUCCCAAUGUGACCGUGUUUGUCCCACCCCGAGACACCUUCCUCGACUCUGGAGAAUCCAAACUCAUCUGCCAGGCCACGGGCUUCAGCCCCAAGCAGAUCACAGUGUCCUGGUUACGGGACGGAGUACCUGUGGGGUCUGGCUUCAUCACAGACCAGGUGGUAGCUGAGAGCACAGUCUCCCAGCCCCUGACCUUCAAGGUUACCAGCACACUGACCAUCACCGAGGUUGACUGGCUGGCCCAGAAGGUGUUCACCUGCCGCGUGGAUCACAAGUCAGGCACCUUCAAGAAGAAUGUGUCCUCCUCCGUGUGUAUCCCCACAACUCCAUCCAUAGAAAUCGAAGUCUUCCCCAUCCCACCCUCUUUUGCUGGCACCUUCCUAAACAAGUCUGCCAAGCUGACCUGCCUGGUCACCAGCCUGACCCACCGUGGAGGACUGAAUAUCUCUUGGGCCAACCAGGAUGGCAAGGACCUGCCAACCAAAAUUGCAGAUCCUGUGAGCCAACCUAACGGCACCCUCAGUGUCAAGGGUGAGGCCAGUGCCUGUGUGGAAGACUGGGACUCUGGGAAGGCAUUCACGUGCACUGUGAUUCACCAGGACCUGCCCUUCCCAUUGAAGAAGACCAUCUCCAAGCACACAGAGCAAGCCAAGCACCCACCUGCCGUGUAUGUGCUGCCCCCAGCCCGGGAACAGCUGGUCCUGCACGAACAGGCCACCGUCUUCUGCCUGGUGAAGGGUUUUGCACCCGCAGACUUCUUUGUGCAGUGGCUACAGAGUGGGCAGACCUUGUCCUCGGACAAGUACGUGACCAGCGCCCCGAUACCCGAGACCCAGUCUCCAGGUCUCUACUAUGCCCACAGCCUGCUGACAGUGACCGAGGAAGACUGGAGCUCAGGAGAGACCUUCACCUGUGUCGUGGGCCACGAGGCCCUGCCCCACGUGGUGACUGAGAGGACCGUGGACAAGUCCACUGAGGGGGAGGUGAACGCCGAAGAAGAGGGCUUCGAGAACCUGUGGACCACUGCCUCCACCUUCAUCGUGCUCUUCCUGCUGAGCCUCUUCUACAGCACCACAGUCACCUUGUUCAAGGUUAAGUGAUCCAGCUGUGGGAGGACACCAGAGACCAAGAGCCCAAUUGCAGGGCCUGGGCUGGGGAGGCCUGGCUGUAUGGCCCUAGACUUGUACCUCUUCCUAUGGUCUGUGAUCUAGGACACAGGCUUCUUUCCACACCAGCCCAAUAUUUCUACCAUGUUCGCAGUGCUGGGUCCCCGUGCUCUGCUUUGCUGUUUGCACACAUGUUGUUCUGAAAUAAAUGCCAAUGUGCUCUC